GGUUAAGCGACUAAGCGUACACGGUGGAUGCCCUGGCAGUCAGAGGCGAUGAAGGACGUGCUAAUCUGCGAUAAGCGUCGGUAAGGUGAUAUGAACCGUUAUAACCGGCGAUUUCCGAAUGGGGAAACCCAGUGUGUUUCGGCACACUAUCAUUAACUGAAUCCAUAGGUUAAUGAGGCGAACCGGGGGAACUGAAACAUCUAAGUACCCCGAGGAAAAGAAAUCAACCGAGAUUCCCCCAGUAGCGGCGAGCGAACGGGGAGGAGCCCAGAGCCUGAAUCAGUGUGUGUGUUAGUGGAAGCGUCUGGAAAGGCGUGCGAUACAGGGUGACAGCCCCGUACACAAAAAUGCACAUAUUGUGAGCUCGAUGAGUAGGGCGGGACACGUGGUAUCCUGUCUGAAUAUGGGGGGACCAUCCUCCAAGGCUAAAUACUCCUGACUGACCGAUAGUGAACCAGUACCGUGAGGG
rnacentral:rRNA from 1 species